GGCGUAAAGCGCACGCAGGCGGUUUGUUAAGUCAGAUGUGAAAUCCCCGGGCUCAACCUGGGAACUGCAUCUGAUACUGGCAAGCUUGAGUCUCGUAGAGGGGGGUAGAAUUCCAGGUGUAGCGGUGAAAUGCGUAGAGAUCUGGAGGAAUACCGGUGGCGAAGGCGGCCCCCUGGACGAAGACUGACGCUCAGGUGCGAAAGCGUGGGGAGCAAACAGGAUUAGAUACCCUGGUAGUCCACGCCGUAAACGAUGUCGACUUGGAGGUUGUGCCCUUGAGGCGUGGCUUCCGGAGCUAACGCGUUAAGUCGACCGCCUGGGGAGUACGGCCGCAAGGUUAAAACUCAAAUGAAUUGACGGGGGCCCGCACAAGCGGUGG
rnacentral:rRNA from 1 species